UCGAGCGGACAGAUGGGAGCUUGCUCCCUGAUGUUAGCGGCGGACGGGUGAGUAACACGUGGGUAACCUGCCUGUAAGACUGGGAUAACUCCGGGAAACCGGGGCUAAUACCGGAUGGUUGUUUGAACCGCAUGGUUCAAACAUAAAAGGUGGCUUCGGCUACCACUUACAGAUGGACCCGCGGCGCAUUAGCUAGUUGGUGAGGUAAUGGCUCACCAAGGCAACGAUGCGUAGCCGACCUGAGAGGGUGAUCGGCCACACUGGGACUGAGACACGGCCCAGACUCCUACGGGAGGCAGCAGUAGGGAAUCUUCCGCAAUGGACGAAAGUCUGACGGAGCAACGCCGCGUGAGUGAUGAAGGUUUUCGGAUCGUAAAGCUCUGUUGUUAGGGAAGAACAAGUACCGUUCGAAUAGGGCGGUACCUUGACGGUACCUAACCAUAAAGCCACGGCUAACUACGUGCCAGCAGCCGCGGUAAUACGUAGGUGGCAAGCGUUGUCCGGAAUUAUUGGGCGUAAAGGGCUCGCAGGCGGUUUCUUAAGUCUGAUGUGAAAGCCCCCGGCUCAACCGGGGAGGGUCAUUGGAAACUGGGGAACUUGAGUGCAGAAAAGGAGAGUGGAAUUCCACGUGUAGCGGUGAAAUGCGUAGAGAUGUGGAGGAACACCAGUGGCGAAGGCGACUCUCUGGUCUGUAACUGACGCUGAGGAGCGAAAGCGUGGGGAGCGAACACGAUUACAUACCCUGAUAGUCCACUCCGUAAACGAUGAGUGCUAAGUGUUAGGGGGUUUCCGCCCCUUAGUGCUGCAGCUAACGCAUUACGCACUCCGCCUGCUGAGUACGGUCGCAAGACUGAGACUCUCACGAAUUGACGGGGGCCCUCACAA
rnacentral:rRNA from 1 species